GAUACGGGUUCGGAAGCACAGACUGGGCAGCUCCACGUCACGAUUCUGAGUGCAGUAAUAUUUCGGACGUGACUGCGGGCAGAGGUGUGACACUGGAGACUGGUGUAAGGGCGAGGCGUCGUGGUGUUCUAGAUAUGACUUGAGCAAAGGUAAAUAAGGUGUUACAACGAGUAAUCAAUCUCCACGCCUGACCUUAUCCCGCGCCUCCCUCUGCUCCCCCACGGCUCGGCAAAAACCAGGAGGCAAGGGACAUAAGUUCACCGUGACCUGGUUCGCAGCACGGGAUGACCCUUGACCCUCAGUGGUCGUGAAGUGCAACCAACAGCUGAGGGGCGUGACCCGAGACGCACGUGACCUUAAGUCGUGGGUGGGGCGGGGGAGAGGCUGGUGGCUGGCAGGUGCUGACUGUCAAGUGGUCCUCAACAUCCAUAAUUAGCAUGUGGAGGAGAGUGAACGGUUGAGUAAAGAAACGGUGGUAUGGAAGGAAGUGGAUGUCGUGCAGUGGACAAGGCAUAACAUUCAGACAUCAGGUGGUGGUUAGGUUGGCAGAGUGACGACAGUGAAGAGGAAACCUGUACAAGUGAGAAGUCAGUGCACAUUGUUUCUGCAAUCAAAGCUGGUUGGUGCCUUACCUUGCCACAGUACCUGAUGUUGCCAAGAGUCAAGUGAAGGGUGUCUGUAACCAGUGCUAGGUGUCCUUCCUACCUGUCUGGUGUGUCUUCCAAGCCAGGUGCCACAGCUCAUCAACAACAGCCAAUGUCUCCAGUGUAAUGUUUAGUGUAGGAUGCAUACUUUUAAUAUGCUUCAUUUCUUUGCCAAUAAUUCUGUGACUAUUCUUAUGUGAAACAAUAUAUAGCUUGUAAUUAUUUAUGUUAAGUACUACUACUGUGAGUGUAAAAGAAAAUGUAAGAGUUCAUCAUGCCUGGAGGAAAAAAAUUGCCCUCCCCCCAAAAAACAGGAUUGUCCCCCAAACUUCCCCUCCCUAAAAAAAGGCCAUGUCCAUCACUCUGGAGAGGAUGAGGAAUAGUGCCUCCCCUUCCUGUUUCCCCUGCAAAACUCACCUUAACCUUUUCAAUACUGGGAUGCAUUUUUACUAUUUGGGUGAUUAAAAAUUUAUUUACAAGAUUGGCCAUAGUCAGGGUUCCCUGUUUCAUUCAUAAAUUUCUGAAACUGUAUAGCAAGAAUAUGAAAAAUUGUCAUGGUAUUGAAGAGGUUGAAUCAAGUUUUCAUUCCUCAGUCUCUCUCCUUCUGAGGAAGGAUUGGGGCCUUUACGUACAAAACUCACCUUAAAACUUACUUAGCCUUGGGGGCAAUCCUGUUUUUUUCUUUUGUGGCAUGAGCUGUUUGUUACCUUAUUCUUUGUUCAUACUAGACAACAAUUACACUGCAAUUUAUUUUAACAGUUAUAUUUUUCACAUUAGAAGUUGCUGAUUUAUUGGCAAAGGCAUACAAAGCACUGUAUGCACAUCAUAUACAUGCUGUGCAGGAGCUGUGGCAUCUCUGGCUUGGAAGACGCACCGGGUUCAGAAGACGCAGGAAGGACACUGAAACGGUUUCAAUAAAAAUUACUAAUUAG
rnacentral:lncRNA from 1 species